GACCUCGGAUCAGGUAGGAAUACCCGCUGAACUUACGCAUAUCAAUAAGCGGAGGAG
rnacentral:rRNA from 1 species